UUCUCGCUGGUGUAGAUUUUGUCCUGUUUUGGUUGUGAGGAUGAGGGGCUGGUGUGGAUCAACAGUCCUGAGGGGGAAGCAGGAAUCCCAGAAGACGGAGGGUCAGGCUGGGGAAUGCAGUUCUGGAAGCUGAGAGCAGAGUGCCCAGUCCUUUCACAUCAGUUUGCCAUAGUGCUGCAUUCAGGAGCUUCUGUCCAAGACACAAAGCCUGGCUGGCCUGUCAUUUCUUAAUAAUCCAGCAAGCUUCCAGGACUGACUUCAUCCUUCUGUCCAUUCAAUCAUCCAUCCAUCCACUUACCCAUCCAUCUAUCCAAAGGGGCACAAGGACACUUUUAGGGCUGAUGGAUGUGUUCACUGUCUUGACUGCUAUGAUGGUUUUAUGGGUGUGUACAUGUGUUAGAACUGGUAAAGUGGUAUACUUUAAAUGUGUGCAUGUGAGUGUACCUUAAUUAUAUUUCAAUAAAGUUGGAAAAAAGGAAGGUAAAUAACAGUAGGUCAAAACUGAUAACACCCCACAUUAUCCAUGGACAAGACAAUGGAUAAGCUGUGGAAUAUCCAUACAAUGGAAUACUGCUCAGCAGUAGAAAGGAACAAAUUGCUCAAAUAUACGACAACAUGGACCAUCUCACACAUGAAUGCUGAUCAAAAGACGUCAGAUGCGACAAUCAUUCUGUACAGUUCCAUUUAUAUACACUUCAAAAACAGAGAAAACAGGCCUGGCAUGGUGGCUUAUGCCUAUAAUUCUAGCACUU
rnacentral:lncRNA from 1 species